rnacentral:pre_miRNA from 1 species
CAUGUACUCCCUCCGUUCGGAAUUACUUGUCUUGGAUAUGGAUGUAUCUAAAACUAAAAUACAUCUAGAUACAUCCAUUUCUGUGACAAGUAAUUCUGAACGGAGGAAGUAGCUU